rnacentral:rRNA from 1 species
GAGACAGCAGCAGCCGCGGUAAUACGAAGGGUGCAAGCGUUACUCGGAAUUACUGGGCGUAAAGCGUGCGUAGGUGGUGGUUUAAGUCCGUUGUGAAAGCCCUGGGCUCAACCUGGGAAUUGCAGUGGAUACUGGGUCACUAGAGUGUGGUAGAGGAUAGUGGAAUUUCCGGUGUAGCAGUGAAAUGCGUAGAGAUCGGAAGGAACAUCUGUGGCGAAGGCGACUAUCUGGGCCAACACUGACACUGAGGCACGAAAGCGUGGGGAGCAAACAGGAUUAGAUACCCCCGUAGUCCCUGUCUCUUAUUC